rnacentral:rRNA from 1 species
AAACUAACAAGGAUUCCCCUAGUAACUGCGAGUGAAGCGGGAAAAGCUCAAAUUUAAAAUCUGGCAGUCUUUGGCUGUCUGAGUUGUAAUCUGGAGAAGUGUUUUCCGCGCUGGACCGUGUACAAGUCUCUUGGAACAGAGCGUCAUAGAGGGUGAGAAUCCCGUCUUUGACACGGACUACCAGUGCUUUGUGAUGCGCUUUCAAAGAGUCGAGUUGUUUGGGAAUGCAGCUCAAAAUGGGUGGUAAAUUCCAUCUAAAGCUAAAUAUUGGCGAGAGACCGAUAGCGAACAAGUACCGUGAGGGAAAGAUGAAAAGCACUUUGGAAAGAGAGUUAAACAGUACGUGAAAUUGUUGAAAGGGAAACGCUUGAAGUCAGUCGCGUUGUUCAGAACUCAGCCUGACUUUUGUCUGGUGUAUUUUCUGUGCGACGGGCCAGCAUCAAUUUUGACCAUUGGAAAAGGGCCAGAGGAAUGUGGCACCUUCGGGUGUGUUAUAGCCUUUGGUCGCAUACAAUGGUUGGGAUUGAGGAUCUCAGCAUGCCUUUUGGCCGGGGUUCGCCCACGUUCAUGCUUAGGAUGCUGGCGUAAUGCCUUUAAACGACCCGUCU